AACGAACGCUGGCGGCAUGCCUAACACAUGCAAGUCGAACGAGACCUUCGGGUCUAGUGGCGCACGGGUGCGUAACGCGUGGGAACCUUCCCUUAUGUUCGGAAUAACUCCCCGAAAGGGGUGCUAAUACCGGACAAUGUCUUCGGACCAAAGAUUUAUCGCCUUUGGAUGGGCCCGCGUUGGAUUAGCUAGUUGGUAGGGUAAAAGCCUACCAAGGCGACGAUCCAUAGCUGGUCUGAGAGGAUGAUCAGCCACACUGGGACUGAGACACGGCCCAGACUCCUACGGGAGGCAGCAGUGGGGAAUAUUGGACAAUGGGCGAAAGCCUGAUCCAGCAAUGCCGCGUGAGUGAUGAAGGCCGUAGGGUUGUAAAGCUCUUUUAACCGGGAUGAUAAUGACAGUACCGGGAGAAUAAGCCCCGGCUAACUCCGUG
rnacentral:rRNA from 1 species